rnacentral:lncRNA from 1 species
CAGGAAGACACGUACCACAAACCAAAGCCCCCAGUUCAGCAGGAAGCUCACUUUCGUCUGCUUCUCAUGAUCACAAACAUCCCUUAGACAAGCACAGUGGUUCUGCCACGAACCACUGGAAGAAACAGGCUGGGCAAGGAGUCACCAAGCACUUUUGGAAGAAGUGAAAGCAGCAGAAAAGUGAG